CCAGGUAAAAUAAAAACAAACAAACAAAAAAACAAAAAACCAUACCAGCAAUCGAUAGAGAGAAGGCUUCAGAGAAAACGAUCUGCAGGUGAUCUCUACAAAAACGGGAAGAGCACGAAUCGACAAAAAUAUGGCCAAUGGACUACUUGCACUAGGGCAGCGGUUCCCAAACUUUUUUUGUUAGGCCCUCCUUUGUUUUACAAGAAAAAUAUCGUCCCCCCCCGCCCACGCACAAACACAUCCUCCAACCACAAACACCCAUAUUUUGCUCCAUUCCGGUUUAUUUCACACCUCAAACAUUUAGUAAACAAUUAAGCAAAUACAAGUAAUCUGCAAUAAAUUACAAGUAGUAAUAAAAUAAACUACUAACUCUUUUACGCUACGUCCACACCUACACGGGUAUUUUUGAAAACGCAGCUGUUUCUAUGCGUUUGGGCCUUUCGUCAACACGUAAACGGCGUUUCGAAUCACCGAAAACGGAGAUUUUUUAAAACUCCUUUUUUGCGUUUUAAGUGUGGACGAGGAUUACAGAGUUCAUCACGCAACGUCAAAGAUGGAGGAUCACUAACAGGAGCGUGGGAAGACUCCAGAAUCCACUCUGGCUGGAAUCCGGUGGAUACAGCAGUGUUACAGAACAGUUCUCCACAGUCGCUGUCCACAUGGGUCAGUGGGACCAAGCAGCACUCUGCUAAUGUGGGACUCUGACCAGCAACAUCCAGCAAGACCCAGACAGCGUUUUCUAUCUCCCAGCUGGAGUUUUUUUGUUUGUGACGGGAGAGUCAGAUUUUUGUUGAAGCUGGAGGAACAGCCUCACACUUGCAGAGGUUACAUGCUACUGAUCCCUGAUGGGAGAAUCAUCACCUCUGCCAACAAAGAAGCCUGGUGGAUGUUUGUUUACAGACUGAUGAUGGGACAUCAUGCUCUGCAUCUUCAAAGUUUGUCUCUUGAUUAUUAUUCAUACACAGUAAUGUGAAGUAUGCUUAUAUCUAGUAUAACUGGACCAACCUGGUGCUCUUCAUUUAUGGAGGCUGUUGAGUCUGAAUGUUGGAUGUUGUGUAUCUCGUGUUCUCUGGGCUUUGUUGUCCUCAGUCUUUUUGCAGGAUCAGAAAACAAAACCAGGAGACCUGUAAAUGUUUCUUCUCCAAUUGGAUGAUGAUAAGACUGUGACACGGGAUGCCACCUUUAGUCUUGUGAUGAAGCAAAGCUCAGGAAGAAGUGUGAUUAAAUGGUACCCACAUGUGUGCUGCUGAGAAGGAUGUACAGGGGCACCUGCAGCCAAAUCCAAGCCUCCUCAGCAACUUCAGGUCUGUCAGCGUGCUGAGGUCACAGAAACAAGAAAAGCAGCUUCAGACUUCAGAGUGUUGUUUACAGUUUUCUGUCAUCAUGAUCUCCCCUGAAGUUUAUCAAGCAAUGGUGACGGUGUGGAGAGACGGUGGUGUUUCCUCAGAAGAACCAGCAGAGUCACAAAGGGCACGAGUCCAUCUCACCACCUUGACUUGCUGACUGAUGCUCGUCUGCACUGCACAGAGGAAAUCAACUGACCGAGUUUCUGAGUGAGGGAGAGAGGAGUCAUCAUCCAGGUAAAGUGACGUGGAUCAGUGGAUACACUUGUCUCCCCUUUAAAGGAGAUACUCUUAGAGAGAGACGAUCUGAGUCAUCAUAAAAUAUGGGAAGGAUAUCACUAUUAGACUGUCUAACCUGCCGGAGCAGCACUGAAUGAUCACCACACAUGACCAUGUUCCUGCAACAUUCAGCAUCUGAUCUGCCAUCUGUGUGCUUCUGCUUUUGUGUCAAAUGUCAAACAGCUGGAGAGGAAACUACACCAGUGUACUGGGAUGUUUCACCAACACGUGCCAGACGCUGUAACUUCAUGGUGACAUCACCAGAGACAGCCCUGCCCACCUCAGGACCUCGCCAUUGAUCAUGAUGAUUAUAAUAAUGACAGCGAGCGGAACUAAGACUGUAAAAAUCAACAACCAGAAUGUUUAGAUGCUUUCUAAUUAUUAAUGAAUACUGAGAGCCUCUUUCUGUGUUUUGUCUGUUUUGGGUUGUUUUGUUUUUUACCUCAUUUGUUACUAACAAAGUUCAACAAACUCACACAGUUUACAUUCUGUAUGUUUCCAUCUUUACCAGCCACAGUCUACCUGCAUUUAGAAAACAAACCUUAGAAAUUGUCGUUUUUCUCUUUUGUAAUUGAUGAUAAUUCAGUGAAUAUACUGCGCUGCUUCCUUUUAUUGCGUCAAACAUUGCUUUAAGUUUUUCAGUGUUCAGUUAUUUUUUACUGCUGUUUGAAUUCUCUGCAUGUUUGACCCUGUAGACUGUUUAAUGGACUGCUUGUCUUGUAACCGCCGCCUGUUUUUGACUAAAGAUUUGGAUUUCUGACUGUAACACAG
ensembl:lncRNA